UCCAGCAAUGCCGCGUGUGUGAAGAAGGCCUUCGGGUUGUAAAGCACUUUUGUCCGGAAAGAAAACCGCUUCUCUAAUACAGGGGCGGGAUGACGGUACCGGAAGAAUAAGCACCGGCUAACUACGUGCCAGCAGCCGCGGUAAUACGUAGGGUGCAAGCGUUAAUCGGAAUUACUGGGCGUAAAGCGUGCGCAGGCGGUUCGCUAAGACCGAUGUGAAAUCCCCGGGCUUAACCUGGGAACUGCAUUGGUGACUGGCGGGCUAGAGUAUGGCAGAGGGGGGUAGAAUUCCACGUGUAGCAGUGAAAUGCGUAGAGAUGUGGAGGAAUACCGAUGGCGAAGGCAGCCCCCUGGGCCAAUACUGACGCUCAUGCACGAAAGCGUGGGGAGCAAACAGGAUUAGAUACCCUGGUAGUCCACGCCCUAAACGAUGUCAACUAGUUGUCGGGUCUUCAUUGACUUGGUAACGAAGCUAACGCGUGAAGUUGACCGCCUGGGGAGUACGGUCGCAAGAUUAAAACUCAAAGGAAUUGACGGGGACCCGCACAAGCGGUGGAUGAUGUGGAUUAAUUCGAUGCAACGCGAAAAACCUUACCUACCCUUGACAUGUACGGAAUCCUGCUGAGA
rnacentral:rRNA from 1 species